rnacentral:rRNA from 1 species
AAUGAACGCUGGCGGCAGGCCUCACACAUGCAAGUCGAACGAGUAGCGGACGGGUGAGUAAUGUCUGGGAAACUGCCCGAAGGAGGGGGAUAACUACUGGAAACGGUAGCUAAUACCGCAUACCAUCGGAUGUGCCCAGAUGGGAUUCGCUAGUAGGUGGGGUAACGGCUCACCUUGGCGACGCUCCCUAGCUGGUCUGAGAGGAUGACCAGCCACACUGUAACUCAGACAAGGUCCAGAGUCCUACGGGAGUCAGAAGUGGGGAUUAUUGCACAAUGUGCGCAAGCCUGAUGCAGCCGUGCCGCGUGUAUGAAGAAUGCCUUCGGGUUGUAAAGUACUUUCAGCGAGGAGGCGUUACUCGCAGAAGAAGCACCGGCUAACUCCGUGCCAGCAGCCGCGGUAAUUC